rnacentral:lncRNA from 1 species
GUACCACACCAAGCAAAGCUCUCUGGGUGACACAGUUGCCACCACCAGGGCACUGACCCUUACUCUGUGUUCUCCUAGCUCCUCCUGAGGGUGCUGUAGGAGACAUCUGCAAAAAAGAAGAUGCUGGCAAUAUGCCAUCAACCUCAGAGGGGAGUAUUUACCUUGAAAUGGCUCACUUCCUGAGGAACAAACUUGCUGGAUCUAGUGUACGGAAACCUGAUUCUGGGUUCCUUUGGGAAGGAGCAUUACGGGCCUGCUCCUGGACCACCUCAUAUCACCAGCACCCUCUACCCAAGGUCCUGGAGCCAACACUGGAGUAAAAGAGCACAAGAGAACUCCUUAGAGGUGGAAGAUAACCCUAAGGAAUAUCUUGGAUGUCUUCACGGGGCUUAUGACUUAUUCUGAGGUUUACAAAAUAGAGGCCCCCAGCUGAGCAAAGAGAGGGCUGCAGCGCCGAGGGAACAGCUGCCGGACUCACCGGAGAGGCCUCCUGGAGCACGCCGGGACCCCCUCCACCCCCUGGCUUUGG